rnacentral:misc_RNA from 1 species
CAACCCUCAGGUCCCCCUUCCGGGGGCGGACCUGGUGCUGGGGCUCGGCCGUCCUCGUGGCGGCCGUCCCUUAAAUCCAGUGGCGGUCACGCCGUGAUCCCUUGCGUAGUACUACACCUCGCACCGGAGAGCGACGCGGCCCGCCGUAAAACACCCAAUUUUUCAAU